GUGUAGUUAUGCGGUAGAUAGCGAGUGUUUGGUCUGACAGGGACAUGUAGAUUUGAGUUUGAGCUUGAUUGUGUGACGAAUGAAAUUCCUUGUCUAGGGUUUUGUGUAUUCUUUAAGGGAUAAGUUGGGAUUCAAUGUUUUCGAGUAUGCGGGAACUGUUGGAUCUGAAUUUCGAGACGAAGUUCUUUUUAAGUGAUGGAGAAUGUGACAACCCGAAUUUUUAAGAUUUUAAUUUAUCUCAUUAUAUUUUAUUUAGUUGUCAUAAUUAAAUAAUUUAAUUAUGAUUAGACUUACCAAAUUAGAGAUUUUGGGUUAUUGAUAAUUUAUUUUUUUUUUUAAUUUUUGAUUUUAGUAAAUUAGUUUUAUUUAUUUAUUUAGUAAGUUGGUGGGUUUUGAUGAUAGAUGUGUACAAUACAUGUAUUGGAUUAUUGGUGAUGAUGGAAAGAUGGAGAUUUUUAAAUUGGUUUGAUUUGAUUUUAUUAUAUAUAUAUAUAUAUAUAUAUAUAUAUAUAUAUAUAUAUAUAUUGUAUGCUGAAGAGAAGCUUUUAGACGAAGUGGACUGAAAAAAAAAAAAAAAAUGAAAUGGUAAUGGCUUUAGGUGCGGGUCCCACUUGGGAAAAUGUGGAGCUGCUGACGUAGAGAGAGAAAUGAGAAGUGGUUGUUUUAUUUAUUUACUUUUUAAGUGGAGAUAUUUGUUAAGUAAGGUAAUGAUGGCAUCUGAUGUGGUAGGAAGCAAAAAAGGGAGUGGCUGCCAAAAUUUUGUGGGAGAAAAAAAAAAAAAAAAAAAAAAAAAGUUUGUUGUGUGUCCCACUAGGAGUAUUUUAAGCCAAGAAAUUCACUUGGCUUUGCUUGGUUCAGUUGGGUUGGUCUGAUUUAUUGAAGUGAGAGAUUGUGUAAUGUUUAGUGAUUUUUCUGAUGACGCAUUGGGAUUUUAAGCCAAGAAAUUCACUUGGCUUUGCUUGGUUCAGUUGGGUUGGUCUGAUUUAUUGAAGUGAGAGAUUGUGUAAUGUUUAGUGAUUUUUCUGAUGACGCAUUGGGCUGGUUCAGAUGGAGAUAUUUUGUAUAGUUAGUGUCGGUGCAUUUUCCUUUUAUAAAGUGACUGUUUUGUGACUUUGGUGAGCAUAUUAAUAGAGUGAAGUAUUGAAGAAGCACAUUCACAGAGAGAGUGAGCCGAGAAAGAUAUAGUGAGCAGAGAGAGAGAGAGUGAGAGCCGAGAUGAACAGACAAGAAAGGUUCGAGAGUUGCAGAGAAGGCCUGAAGUUAGAGGCUUUGAUGAUCUAGUGAGGAAAAAUUCUUUUUUUCAAGGACACGGAAGGGAAGUGGCGGAGACGCUCCUCCACAGGGUUGGUUGGGUCAGUGGAAUAAAUCUUGGAAUGACACGCAUAUUAUAUAUUGACAUAGGAGAGGACGGUAGUGUCCUUAAUUGAUCUCGGGUUCGGAUAAGGACUCGGUUAGCGAUUCGAACUCUCAGGUUCGGGUCAUUACAACUACGUCAAAGAUGGAUUGCAAACUCAGAAUAUUUAUUAAAAUUUGAGUAAAAAUCCUCUGUAAUUUUUCCUCUGAUAGCAAAAUUUUGUGAGUUUGCCCUGUGGUUUUUCCCCCUACACUGGAGGGUUUUCCACGUAAAUUUUGGAUGUCAGUGUGUUUUUGUUGCUACGUUUAUUUUAUACUAAUUUUUCUUAAGCAAACUAUUUGGGACCAACAAGUGGUAUCAAAGCGAGUUUGGUCGGUGAUAUAUUAUGCUGUGAUUAAAUUGAUGGCUUCAAACUAUGGGGUUUGGAAGCCUAAAAUGGAAGAUAUCUUUUAUUUUAAGUAUUUAUGUGACCUUAUUAAGGGUGACACUGCCAAACCUGCUCAGAAAAGUGCUAAAGAUUGGGAGAAGACGAACGGGAAUAACAGAAAAUUUGUGGGGCUGGUCAGAAAGUGGAUUGAUCAUAAUGUGUUUCACCAUGUUCCACAUGAGACUAAUGCUUAUACUCUAUGGAAGAAAUUGGAGUCGUUAAGAGAGGACGACUACUCAGAAUAAAGCAUUUUUUUUUAUAACAAGUGAAUUUGAAGUUCAGGGAUUUUUGUUGUGGAGCACUAGAGUGAUUUUCAGAGUUUGGUGAACCAGUUAUCCAAAAUGAAGAUGGUGUUAGAUGAUGAGUUACAUGCAUUGUUACUUCUUAGUUCAUUGCCUAAUAGUUGGGAGACUUUGGUGGUAUUGCCCAGCAAUUCUGUUCUAGAUGGUAAAAUGACUCUAAAAGGGGUAAAACAAAAUACAUUUGCAUUGACCAAUUGUAUAUCAUUUCAGAUUAACGCAAGGAUUAAUCCCAAACAAAUCCAAGUAAGAAUUCUCUAUGCCAAGACAAACAAAUCCCAACAUGUGUUAGAUGACGAGUUACAUACAUUGUUAUUUCUUACAUCGUUGCUUGAUAGUUGGGAGACUUUGGUGGUAUUGCUCAACAGUUCUGCUCUAGAUGGUAAAAUGACUCUAAAAGGGGUAAAAGAUUGUAUGUUUUCAAUGAAGAAUUACGACAAAAGAAUGUUCAUAGAGAUCAAACUCAAGUUCAAGCUCUUGUCGCAGAGGAUAAAGACAGAAGGAGGUCCUCGGAGUUUGUUGGAAAAUAAACUUGAUUUUAAUAUUUAGUAUUUUCAAG